rnacentral:rRNA from 1 species
AAAUUGAAGAGUUUGAUCAUGGCUCAGAUUGAACGCUGGCGGCAGGCCUAACACAUGCAAGUCGAACGGUAACAGGAAGCAGCUUGCUGCUUCGCUGACGAGUGGCGGACGGGUGAGUAAUGUCUGGGAAACUGCCUGAUGGAGGGGGAUAACUACUGGAAACGGUAGCUAAUACCGCAUAAUGUCGCAAGACCAAAGAGGGGGACCUUCGGGCCUCUUGCCAUCGGAUGUGCCCAGAUGGGAUUAGCUUGUUGGUGGGGUAACGGCUCACCAAGGCGACGAUCCCUAGCUGGUCUGAGAGGAUGACCAGCCACACUGGAACUGAGACACGGUCCAGACUCCUACGGGAGGCAGCAGUGGGGAAUAUUGCACAAUGGGCGCAAGCCUGAUGCAGCCAUGCCGCGUGUAUGAAGAAGGCCUUCGGGUUGUAAAGUACUUUCAGCGGGGAGGAAGGGAGUAAAGUUAAUACCUUUGCUCAUUGACGUUACCCGCAGAAGAAGCACCGGCUAACU